GGAAGAGAUAAGUGCUGAAAGCAUCUAAGCACGAAACUUGCCCCGAGAUGAGUUCUCCCUGACUCCUUGAGAGUCCUGAAGGAACGUUGAAGACGACGACGUUGAUAGGCCGGGUGUGUAAGCGCAGCGAUGCGUUGAGCUAACCGGUACUAAUGAACCGUGAGGCUUAACCUUACAACGCCGAAGGUGUUU
rnacentral:rRNA from 1 species